GAGAUAAAUAAAUAGAUUAAUAAACAAUUUGAGCUUCUGGAGAAGAAACGGGAACUCGUGUGGAGUUCACAUGGAAUUUACGUGGAAUUCACAUGGAAUUGGUGUGACAAUCCAACCCUCUGAGGCCUUUGGCAAAGGCUGGGAACAGCUCUGCCCUUGGAGGAGCCGGUGCUGCUUUCACUGAGCAGGUUGGGAAUGCUGGAAUUCUCCUCCUCAUCCUGCAAGGAAAAUCAUUUCAUGCUUUUCUGUGAAAGAAAACAGGCAAUUCCUCAGGAUAAAAACUGGAUCCAAGCCUGUAUCCUGCUAAUUCCAGCAGCAGUGACCUUGAGGAGGCUGGAGCACAAAGGAGCUGCAGUUUCUCCUGGAAUUCUGAUUUCCUUCUCAUCUCCUGUGGUUGAAGUUGUCCCAUCCUGAAGGUGAGGUUGUGCUGUCCCCUCUGCUGAACAGCUUUUAAUAAAAAAUUAUUCAUUUAUUAAUUAACUCCUCUCUCCACUGAGGUUACCCCAUCCUUACUCACAUCCUACUACACCCCCAAAAACACAGUGGAGACAGAACCACCUAAAAAACCCCAAUUUUGGAGCUCAAAUCUCUUUUUAGCACCUCCCCAACCCCCAGGAGCCCUCAGGAAAAGCCUUGCAGCACCAUCAGGAUGUUUAUUCCCAGGAUUUAUCCUCCCAGGGUGAAGAGGGAACAACAACCAUCCCACAGGAACAGGCUGUGGGUGCUUCCCACUCUUCCUCUCACUUCCAGAGGUUAAAAACUAUUCCUGCCACAUUCCCAGCUCUGCCUUUUCCACCUAAAACUUGAGCUUUUAUAAUCUCAGGUGCCUGCAGGAAAAGAAACAGCUCCAAAACAAAUCCCAAACAAGAUUUUCCAGCAGUUUUUCUUCCUCUUUAUUUAUUUAUUAUUUCCUUCAAGUGCUGGUAGAGGUCAGGGACAACACCACAGCAACAAUUCCAAGGGGAAUAUUUGGGUUUUUUACCAUUUUUCCCAGGUUUAUAUUCAGGAUUCCCAACCUAUCAUAGUUCACAGCUGUUGACAGCAGAGCCAAGUGGAAUCUGACAAUUAUCAACUUUAAACUUUAAAAAGGAAAGGGGUUUCCCCACCUGGCUGGAAUUUGUUUUUAGAAGGGAAAAAUAAACAAACCCCACGUGAUGAAUAUUUAUUCAUUCCUAGAAAGUGAGGGUGGAAAAUACCAUACAAAUCUUCCCUCUUCUUUCUCACCUUCAGAAAAUACAAAAAGGUUUGAG